UACGUAGGGUGCGAGCGUUGUCCGGAAUUAUUGGGCGUAAAGAGCUCGUAGGCGGUGUGUCACGUCGGCCGUGAAAACCUGCAGCUCAACUGUGGGCGUGCGGGCGAUACGGGCAGACUGGAGUACUGCAGGGGAGACUGGAAUUCCUGGUGUAGCGGUGGAAUGCGCAGAUAUCAGGAGGAACACCGGUGGCGAAGGCGGGUCUCUGGGCAGUAACUGACGCUGAGGAGCGAAAGCGUGGGGAGCGAACAGG
rnacentral:rRNA from 1 species